GUUUGGGGCUGCUGCUGCUUGCUUCGGUGAGAGAGGAAAAGCAUUUUCCUGCUUGGCCAGCAUUUCCCUGCAAGAAGCAGAGCCCAGGCCUGAGGCUGCUCGGCAUUGGUGUGACCUGCCCUGGGCACAGCCACCACAGCUGCCCAGAGCCAGGAGAUGCAGCUGAGGGAUCCAGGAGGAUGCAGCUCAUGUUUUCAAGGAGGAUAAGGUAAGAUUGAAAUGAGCUUGGCAGGAAAGCCCCUGUGAAGCAAAGCACAAUGAAAAUACCUGUGAGCAGAAACAAUAAGGAAUUCUUGCUGCUCCUGCUGUCCUGGUCUUUUCAGGUAGGUUUUGUAUGGAAUUGAAAGGAAGUUUUCAUGCCUCUGGUGAGCUGCAGCCACAUCCCCCUUGAAGAAGAAAAUGUGGAGGGAGUGGCAAGCAGGAAGAUGGCUUUUAGACCACCACACCAA